GAUGAACGCUGGCGGCGUGCCUAAUACAUGCAAGUCGAGCGAACAGACGAGGAGCUUGCUCCUCUGACGUUAGCGGCGGACGGGUGAGUAACACGUGGAUAACCUACCUAUAAGACUGGGAUAACUUCGGGAAACCGGAGCUAAUACCGGAUAAUAUAUUGAACCGCAUGGUUCAAUAGUGAAAGACGGUUUUGCUGUCACUUAUAGAUGGAUCCGCGCCGCAUUAGCUAGUUGGUAAGGUAACGGCUUACCAAGGCAACGAUGCGUAGCCGACCUGAGAGGGUGAUCGGCCACACUGGAACUGAGACACGGUCCAGACUCCUACGGGAGGCAGCAGUAGGGAAUCUUCCGCAAUGGGCGAAAGCCUGACGGAGCAACGCCGCGUGAGUGAUGAAGGUCUUCGGAUCGUAAAACUCUGUUAUUAGUGAAGAACAAAUGUGUAAGUAACUAUGCACAUCUUGACGGUACCUAAUCAGAAAGCCACGGCUAACUACGUG
rnacentral:rRNA from 1 species